rnacentral:rRNA from 1 species
AGCGUUGUCCGGAUUUAUUGGGCGUAAAGCGCGCGCAGGCGGUUCUUUAAGUCUGAUGUGAAAGCCCACGGCUCAACCGUGGAGGGUCAUUGGAAACUGGAGAACUUGAGUACAGAAGAGGAAAGCGGAAUUCCACGUGUAGCGGUGAAAUGCGUAGAGAUGUGGAGGAACACCAGUGGCGAAGGCGGCUUUCUGGUCUGUAACUGACGCUGAGGCGCGAAAGCGUGGGGAGCAAACAGGAUUAGAUACCCUGGUAGUCCACGCCGUAAACGAUGAGUGCUAAGUGUUAGGGGGUUUCCGCCCCUUAGUGCUGCAGCUAACGCAUUAAGCACUCCGCCUGGGGAGUACGGCC